GCUCCACAGCAGGCUUCCUACUUUGACGCCUCACGCGCUCUUCAGCUCUCUUUUUCUGUGGGUCUCGCGGCUCUCCCCCUCUACAAUUACGAGUAGUGCCUUGAGCCGGGCGUUCGGAGACCCACACAGGAGGGACAGGAUGGGGAGAGCGGCAUUAAAGGGUGGUGACUCAGGAGUUCAAGACCAGCCUGGCCAACAUGACGAAACCCCGUCUCUACCAAAAAUACAAAAAUUAGCCAGGCAUGAUGGCGGACGCCUGUAAUCCCACCUACUCGGGCGGCUGAGGCAGGAGAAUCGCUUGAACCCGGGAGGCGGAGGUUGCAGUGAGGCGAGAUAGCGCCACUACACUCCAGCCUGGGCGACAGAGCGAGACUCCGUCUCAAAAUAAAAAUAAAAAAAAAAUAAAGGCGGGGUGGUGGUGGUGACAAGCCCCUAUUACGGCCUUAGUGCGGGAUUCCCCUUGGGGCGGGAGACGUCGUCCUUCCGGGUGCGGGUGCGGACUGCAAGUCCUAUCGGGGACCGCGACACCGGACUGCAUCCGCCAGCGUCCAGGGCGUAGCGCCCCCCAGGCGCUGCCUUCGUCCAUCUCUACGGGGAGUGGCGGCCAGAAGACUGGGUUUUCCCCGUGCAGCUGUGCCCCACGUUGGGGAAACUGACUUUUCAGAGUGCUUGGGGAGGAUGGUGGGAAGGAAUGAAGAGGACAAGGACAGACUCGUCUGCCUCAAUACAUCCACAUAGUGGACACCACUGUCUUUUGGGAAGCUUCCCCCUCUCUCAGGAGUACGUGAGUAAGUUGUUUCCCUGGCUACCUUCCUGGGGAACCAAAGUUUGCGGGGAAAGAACACAUCAAAGUGCUUGUUGCAAAGAAGAACCUCCUCUUUAUUCCACAUAUAGAAGCUGUGUUUCCAGAGCUGGGAAAGGGCUUCGACCUGGCCCUACCUCUGUGUGGGCCUAGAGAUGAAGGUCUAGGGCCGGGCGUGGUGGCUCACACCUGUAAUCCCAGCUACUUGGGAGGCUGAGGCAUGAGAUUUGCUUGAACCCGGGAGGCGGAGGUUGCGGUGAGCUGAGAUCGUGUCAUUGCACUCCAGCCUGGGCAAUAAGAGUGAAACACCGUCUCAAAAAA
rnacentral:lncRNA from 1 species